AUCUACAACAUGAUUCUACAACUGCCAAGGAACUUCGGCAGAAGAGCUGGUAUAUAGGGGAGUGGAGGGAGCAGAUUGAAGUACAGUCAAACCUGUCUAUAAAGACCACCCUUGGGAGAGCCAAAAUGUGGUCUUUUUUGGGAGGUAGUCAUUAUUCACAGGUUAAAAUACACUGUUAAUGUUAAAAUGGGAAACAAAACACGUGUUCUUUAGAGCCAGGUGGUCUCUGUUCGGAGGUGGUCUUUAAGACAGGUUUGACUGUAUACACAUCAGUGGAAGUGGAACAGGCAGAUUUCAAUACAUACUACAUCAGUGGGAAAAGCGCAGUGAAGUUCAGCUGUUUCCAGCUUGAAACACAUGCCAAUGUGGACAGCCUAGGAGGUCCUCAUCAAGUUGCAGUAGAUUCAUUAAAACAAGAAAUGGAGUAAGCUGUACUUACUGUGUUCUGCUACCUGUAAAAAAAUGGGGAAUCUUCAGAAGCACAUAAUGGUAUGGUCGACAUUAUGGAAGUUCGUGGAGUAUGCCCGUGGCCAGACAGAUCUUCAUCUCUUAGAGGUUGAAGUUGCAAGACUGAUGGAAAAUGACAGUGACUGGACAGACAGUGAUGAUGGUGAAGAACUAUAGAAAACUUGGGGAAACUUUUAAUAGUGGCCAUCAACAAGCAGUCAUUGAUUCCAGUGUUCCAGCCAAUGUAUCCCUCUCUAGAGGUUGAAGUUGCAAGGAGAGACUGAUGGAAAAUGACAGUGAUUGGACAGACAGUGAUGAUGGUGAAGAACUAUAGAAAACUUGGGGAAACUUUUAAUAGUGGCCAUCAACAAGCAGUCAUCGGUUUCAG
rnacentral:lncRNA from 1 species